rnacentral:rRNA from 1 species
UACGUAGGGCGCAAGCGUUAUCCGGAAUUAUUGGGCGUAAAGAGCUCGUAGGCGGUUUGUCGCGUCUGCCGUGAAAGUCCGGGGCUCAACUCCGGGCCUGCAGUGGGUACGGGCAGACUAGAGUGCGGUAGGGGAGACUGGAAUUCCUGGUGUAGCGGUGAAAUGCGCAGAUAUCAGGAGGAACACCGGUGGCGAAGGCGGGUCUCUGGGCCGUAACUGACGCUGAGGAGCGAAAGCGUGGGAGCGAACAGG